rnacentral:lncRNA from 1 species
CACAUUUGUUUUUCUUAUCUUCUAGCAUGGAGUGUGGAAUGAUGUCUUAACUUUACUCUCAGUUGGUUUAGUGAAAGCUAGAAAAAGGACUAACACAUACCUCACUUCUCAACUGGGCAAAACACCACCCCCCCACCCCUCCUCAAGGGUGGGGUGAGGAGCAUCUGGAAACG